rnacentral:ncRNA from 2 species
GAAUAAAGUAAAGCUUCAGGUGCGGAUUGCUUAAUAGGGAAUCAGGUGAAAGUCCUGAGCGGUCCCGCCACUGUAACCGGUGAUGUACUGCAGUUUGCCACUGGGGAGUUAUACCCCUGGGAAGGCGCAGGAAAGAUGAACCGGGAGCCAGGAGACCUGCCUGAAGUUUUGUACUGAA